rnacentral:pre_miRNA from 1 species
AUAACAUUCGGAACGUCGGUCUACCGAGCAGUAUCACCCCUGCUCAGUGGAAGAUCGUUCCUUUAACGU